UACGUAGGUGGCAAGCGUUGUCCGGAUUUACUGGGCGUAAAGAGCGCGCAGGCGGUCGUUCAAGUCGAGUGUGAAAGCCCCCGGCUCAACUGGGGAGGGUCACUCGAUACUGAUCGACUCGAAGGCAGAAGAGGGAAGCGGAAUUCCCGGUGUAGUGGUGAAAUGCGUAGAUAUCGGGAGGAACACCAGUGGCGAAGACGGCUUUCUGGUCUGCUCUUGACGCUGAGGCGCGAAAGCUAGGGUAGCAAACGGG
rnacentral:rRNA from 1 species